rnacentral:rRNA from 1 species
AGAGUUUGAUCCUGGCUCAGGAUGAACGCUGGCGGCGUGCUUAACACAUGCAAGUCGAACGAUGAACCUCACUUGUGGGGGGAUUAGUGGCGAACGGGUGAGUAACACGUGAGUAACCUGCCCUUAACUCUGGGAUAAGCCUGGGAAACUGGGUCUAAUACCGGAUAUGACUCCUCAUCGCAUGGUGGGGGGUGGAAAGCUUUAUUGUGGUUUUGGAUGGACUCGCGGCCUAUCAGCUUGUUGGUGAGGUAGUGGCUCACCAAGGCGACGACGGGUAGCCGGCCUGAGAGGGUGACCGGCCACACUGGGACUGAGACACGGCCCAGACUCCUACGGGAGGCAGCAGUGGGGAAUAUUGCACAAUGGGCGCAAGCCUGAUGCAGGGACGCCGCGUGAGGGAUGACGGCCUUCGGGUUGUAAACCUCUUUCAGUAGGGAAGAAGCGAAAGUGACGGUACCUGCAGAAGAAGCGCCGGCUAACUACGUGCCAGCAGCCGCGGUAAUACGUAGGGCGCAAGCGUUAUCCGG